rnacentral:rRNA from 1 species
ACAAGGAUUCCCUCAGUAACGGCGAGCGAAGUGGGAAGAGCUCGAGCCUGAAAUCCCUGGCAGGUACUGUCAGGGAAUUGUGGCCGGGAGAGGCAACUAGGCCCUGGUCGGCGCUGUCAAAGUUGACCUGGAAAGGCGCGUCAUAGAGGGUGAGAGCCCCGUACGUGACACCGUUGGCCUGGGCGUUAUUGCCUUCGGAGAGUCGGGUUGUUUGGGAAUGCAGCCCAAAGUGGGUGGUAAACUCCAUCUAAAGCUAAAUACUGGCACGAGACCGAUAGCAAACAAGUACCGUGAGGGAAAGGUGAAAAGUACUUUGAAAAGAGAGUCAAAAAGACCGCGAAACCGUUAGGAGGGAAACGAAUGCAGCUGAAUUAGCUCUGCUCAAGUUCAGGAGCGAUGUUGAUUGGCGAUGCCAGCGUUCAAAAGCCGAUAGGUUUUGUCGUCUGGAUAGCCGCCAACUCCUCUGCACUCUUGUGCAAGCUGGCCAACAACAGUUGCCCGUGGCUGAGAAGGGCCGUUGGGUAGGUGGUUACCUCUCGUAGGUAAAACUUAUAGCCAUCAGUCUGGAAGUCUGCGGGUGACUGAGGAUAACUUGGCAGCGUAGGCCUCUGGCCUUGGGCCACUUCUGGUCGUUUGGGUACCGCUUCAGGGACUGCGUGCAGUGUCUGUUGACGGCUGUCUGCUCGGGCGGGAGACUGGUCACACCUUACGCUGUAGUUGUUGGUGAUCAAAUGGCUGCAUCCGACCCGUCUUGAAACACGGACCAAGGAGUGCAACAUGCGUGCGAGUCUUUGGGUGGCAAACCCAGCGGCGCAAUGAAAGUGAAGGCAGGCGUUGGUCUGCUGAGGCGAGAGUCCUCUCGGGGACACAUCGUCAACCGAUCCCAGGUCACGCUGUGGCGGGAUUUGAGUGAGAGCGUGCCUGUUGCGACCCGAAAGAUGGUGAACUAUGCCUGAAUAGGGUGAAGCCAGAGGAAACUCUGGUGGAAGCUCGUAGCGAUUCUGACGUGCAAAUCGAUCGUCAAAUUUGGGUAUAGGGGCGAAAGACUAAUCGAACCAUCUAGUAGCUGGUUCCCUCCGAAGUUUCCCUCAGGAUAGCUGGAGCCCGGUGCAGUUUUAUCAGGUAAAGCGAAUGAUUAGAGGUCUUGGGGUUGAAACAACCUCAACCUAUUCUCAAACUUUAAAUGGGUAAGAAGCUUGGCUUGCUUAAUUGAAGUCAGGCAUGGAAUGCCGGGGCUCCUAGUGGGCCAUUUUUGGUAAGCAGAACUGGCGAUGUGGGAUGAACCAAAUGCUGGGUUAAGGUGCCCGAAUCAACGCUCAUCAGAUACCAUGAAAGGUGUUGGUUGAUCUAGACAGCAGGACGG